CAAGAGCUCAUUCAAGUCUUCAACCACCUUGAAGAAAAUCAGAAAAGCUUUCUUCGUAUUGUGUAAAGUGUAUUUAAAAUUUUAUUUGCUCAUUAAAGGAGCUAAAUUUGUAUUUUCGUGUGAUUAACUCAUAUACUCUAUUUUGUCUUGAUUUUUAGUUUUGAAAGGGUUCCAAAACUUGAAAGGUUAGUCCGAAUCUUGAAUCAGAUUGUAUUGGGUUGGCUUGUACCCGAGAAACAAGUGUUCUAGCUUGAAAUAGCUAGAGUCGGAGGUACCGACGUUGUAUUCUUGUUGAAUACGAUUUAGUGUAUUUGAAUUCCCAAGUACGAGCUUGGAGAGUGGAUGUAAGUGCAAGGUUGGCAUCGAACCACUAUAAAUCUUGAUUGUUUGUGGUGUGCUUACUUGCUCUCUUCCUAAAUUUAUUUACUUUCUUGCAUUCUUGCAUCUUAUUGCUACACUUUGCUUAAAUCACUCACUACAUAUAACUUGCUUAGUAUUACUUAAUCCUUGUGGUUCUAAAUUAACUUUAAAAUUUUAAAAAUCCAAUUCACCCCCCCCUCUUGGGUUGCAUAGCUGGGGAACAAAUGGUAUCAAAGCUCGGUGCUCUAGUCUUUUUUUGAUUUAACCGUUAAAGAGCCAAAGAUCUAUGGCAACUCAAGUUGAUGCUUCACUAGCCGAGGGGCAGUCCACAAACCGACC
rnacentral:lncRNA from 1 species